rnacentral:rRNA from 1 species
GACGAACGCUGGCGGCGUGCUUAACACAUGCAAGUCGAACGGAAAGGCCCUGCUUUUGUGGGGUGCUCGAGUGGCGAACGGGUGAGUAACACGUGAGUAACCUGCCCUUGACUUUGGGAUAACUUCAGGAAACUGGGGCUAAUACCGGAUAGGAGCUCCUGCUGCAUGGUGGGGGUUGGAAAGUUUCGGCGGUUGGGGAUGGACUCGCGGCUUAUCAGCGUGUUGGUAGGGUAGUGGCUUACCAAGGCGUUGACGCAUAGCCGGCCUGAGAGGAUGAGCAGCCACAAUGGGACGGAGACACGGCCCAGACUCGGAGGGGAGGGAGCAGGGGGGAAGAGUGGGCAAGGGGCGAAAGCCGGAUACAGCAAGGCCGCGGGAGUGAGGAAGGCCUUAGGGUGGGAAAGCUCGUUGACCCGGGAUGAUAAUGACAGUAGCGGGAGAAUAAGCUCCGGCUAACUCCGUG